GGAGGCCCCUGCUGCACUUUAGGUGCAGGCUUAUUAAAACGGACUCUGCCAGCUUCAGUAUUCAGCCUGUGCGUCGGCAUGCUUAUCACUCCUCAUUAGACAAUCAUCGGGAGCGCUGUCUAUUCAUCAUCAUUACUCAGGCACACUCCGAUGUGGUUUCUCCGUACCUCCCACUGGUCACAACUUAAAGGCGUUUAUCUCUUGUGCGGCGAGGUCCCGAGUCGGUGUGUGUUCAGGCGAGAUCACAGCAGCAACGGCCGCUUAAUUAGCACCGAGCAGAUGAGAGCGGGCAGCACUGGUGAGCUAAAGGGCUCUACACAGCACGGAGGAGCUGCACGAAGCCUGAAGAAAGUUAGCACGGGAGAUCCGUUAAAACAGCAGGAAGGCACACGGACAAAAACUUAAACCCUCUGAGGAUGACCAACUGAUCUGUCCCGAACUCUGCUAAACUCUUAAAGUCCCAAACUCCUGCUCCAAGAUCACAGUGAAAAUCUCUCUGUAUUUAUUUAGUUAGUUUAAGGAGAAAAGCAGUGGGAAGAAUGAGGAGGGGAGAAGAGAAAAAAAAAGAUGGGAGUUUUUUAGACAGCCAACUUUUAGACACCCUGAUGUAAAACUUAGUUUGACAGGUAUGAAGAGCCUUUGGGAUAGAGUGACAUGCUGUGUUUGACUGCCUUCACCUGUCAUUAUGUCCACAGCCGGGGAAAGUACAUAAUAUACCACGCUGAACUAAAGCACGCACAGCAGGGACUCUCUGAAACCUGCUUUUGCUAAACAACACAAGAAUACAUCAGUGCAAAUAUUUCAAAUGUGUAUAACGUCACGGUGUCAUGAUUUUUACAUGACUUUGCCUACACUUUUCGUUCAUGUUUUCUAAUCACAGUGCUGUUGAAUUCUCAAUUCUGAUUGGCCAGAAGGUGUCUAUAACAGCAGCUUGGACAGUUGUUAUAUCAAUUUAAUACGGUGUCAUUUAGUUAGAUAAUCAGUCACUUUUAUUGUCUUUGGCUUCACCAUAUAUUAUAAAAAAUUACAUCAACACAACAACCAAAAAACAACAAAGCAAAAGUACAUAAAAAAACAGUAUAAACAUCUAUAACUCAAAUCUACGUUAUAAUGUACACACACAUUCCCAUUUGUAUGUAUGUAUAUAUGUAUAUAUUAUGGCACUUGGCACAAAUGGCAUCCGGUACAUGUUUCCUUGCCUGUGGUUGUCUAGGGUCUCCUUGAAGGUAAACAACUGAAAUUUCUAUAGUAACAGCUCAUUUACAGGGACUUGUAUGGUGGAUGUUUCACAUAAUCUAAACUGCAUAAUACACAGGUAAAUCAGGUACACAGAUAACGUAAACAGUUUAAAAAAUGUGCUUUUAAUUAUUACAGAAAAAAUGUAUGAUCGUUAAAUGAGUCACUGGUGACAUCACCUUAGAAAGAAGUAAUGUACAGAAAGUUUUCCACCUUGGGGGAAGUUUAUCAGAAACAAGUUGUCUUAUUAAAUCAUGAAAGAAAAAGAAAAAAAAAAAAGAAACUGGUGAGGGAAAGACUGUUUUGUCGCUGCAAGAGCAUAAAAGAAAGUAUUUAAAUGUGACUAUAAACUGAUAAAAAAAUAUGACAAGCCAUUUUGAAUUAAUGUAAUGUAAUUUAAAUUAAUGUAAUGUAAUUGAUGUAAUGUAAUACAUGUAAUUAUCGAC
ensembl:lncRNA